AAGUGUAUUACCUCUUGGAAGUAGCUACUGCUUUCUAUUGAUCCCCUGCUCUUAACACUCAAACUAUCUCACUUUCCAACUUGCUAUUUUCACUCACAAAUUCUGAUUGAAGUGUUUGGGGUGAAGAAAUGAGGCUAAGUGGAGACACACAUAUUUAUGGGGCGAAAAGUUGGGUCAAGAAUUUGUUAGCUGCAAAAAUCUGGAACUGCUUGAUUCUGACCAAGAUUUGAAUUGGCCUCUUGUUUGUAUAUGUAGGGAGAGCAAGAGGUUGUUCGGCUUGGGCUGAUUUUGUGUACCUUAGGGGAGUUAAUGAGGCUGACCUUGUUUGGUUUAUUGCCCAGCAUAUCUCUUGUUCUUGAUCCCCAAAGCAGCCUUUUACUUGACACAUUUUGGUGCUACUUGGAGUACUAGAGUUUGACUAAUUAAUUUAACUUGUUCUCACAUGCUCUCAUAGUACUUUGGUUCAUAACUCACAUUGUUUGCUUGUGGCUGGUGAGAAACAGGUGCUGCAUUAGGGUGGAGGAUUUGCAGGCUUGACUUUUCCCCUUUUGGUGAGAGUGAAAUCUCGGCUACUACCUGGCUGCACCGCGAGCGGGCCUGGGUUCGUGGUCUGGGCCGACGGGCUGCCCGAAACGGGCCCUAAAUUGGGCCUGGAGAAAAGGCCCGAAGUGCACUCCAAAGUUUAUUUUCCUUUCUUUGUUUUCUUUCAUAGAGGACUUUGAUCCAUGUAAUCUAUUUUAUUAGUUGUUCAUUUUAUUGAACACGAAAUACCAUUCGAAACACUUUAUUUUUCCGAA